rnacentral:pre_miRNA from 1 species
GGCACAAACUUGAAGUGGAGUAGUUUAAUAGGGUCAGAUGAUCCUUCUAAUCUACUCUGCUUCAAAUUUGGGCCC